rnacentral:rRNA from 1 species
AGCGAACGCUGGCGGCGUGCCUAACACAUGCAAGUCGAACGUGAAAGGGAGCAAUCCCAAGUAAAGUGGCGUACGGGUGAGUAACACGUAGGUAAUCUACCCCAGAAUCUGGAAUAACCGGCCGAAAGGCUGGCUAAUACUGGAUAGAGCGACGGAAUCCGUAAUUGGGUUUUUCGGGAAAGGGAGCCUGUAUAAAGGCCUUCGUUCUGGGAUGAGCCUGCGUCCCAUCAGCUAGUUGGUGAGGUAAAAGCUUACCAAGGCAAUGACGGGUAGCUGGUCUGAGAGGACGAUCAGCCACACUGGAACUGAAACACGGUCCAGACUCCUACGGGAGGCAGCAGGGGGGAAUCUUGCGCAAUGGACGAAAGUCUGACGCAGCAACGCCGCGUGAGUGAAGAAGGCCUUCGGGUUGUAAAGCUCUGUCGAGUGGGACGAAAAUGCUUGGAGUUCACAGCUCCAGGAACUGACGGUACCACUAAAGGAAGCACCGGCUAACUCCGUG